AACGAACGCUGGCGGCAUGCCUAACACAUGCAAGUCGAACGAGACCUUCGGGUCUAGUGGCGCACGGGUGCGUAACGCGUGGGAACCUGCCUUUAGGUUCGGAAUAACUCAGAGAAAUUUGAGCUAAUACCGGAUGAUGUCUUCGGACCAAAGAUUUAUCGCCUUUAGAUGGGCCCGCGUUAGAUUAGCUAGUUGGUGGGGUAAAGGCCUACCAAGGCGACGAUCCAUAGCUGGUCUGAGAGGAUGAUCAGCCACACUGGGACUGAGACACGGCCCAGACUCCUACGGGAGGCAGCAGUGGGGAAUAUUGGACAAUGGGCGAAAGCCUGAUCCAGCAAUGCCGCGUGAGUGAUGAAGGCCUUAGGGUUGUAAAGCUCUUUUACCCGAGAUGAUAAUGACAGUAUCGGGAGAAUAAGCUCCGGCUAACUCCGUG
rnacentral:rRNA from 1 species